rnacentral:rRNA from 1 species
UUAAGCGACUAAGCGUACACGGUGGAUGCCCUGGCAGUCAGAGGCGAUGAAGGACGUGCUAAUCUGCGAUAAGCGUCGGUAAGGUGAUAUGAACCGUUAUAACCGGCGAUUUCCGAAUGGGGAAACCCAGUGUGAUUCGUCACACUAUCAUUAACUGAAUCCAUAGGUUAAUGAGGCGAACCGGGGGAACUGAAACAUCUAAGUACCCCGAGGAAAAGAAAUCAACCGAGAUUCCCCCAGUAGCGGCGAGCGAACGGGGAGCAGCCCAGAGCCUGAAUCAGUGUGUGUGUUAGUGGAAGCGUCUGGAAAGGCGCGCGAUACAGGGUGACAGCCCCGUACACAAAAAUGCACAUACUGUGAGCUCGAUGAGUAGGGCGGGACACGUGGUAUCCUGUCUGAAUAUGGGGGGACCAUCCUCCAAGGCUAAAUACUCCUGACUGACCGAUAGUGAACCAGUACCGUGAGGGAAAGGCGAAAAGAACCCCGGCGAGGGGAGUGAAAAAGAACCUGAAACCGUGUACGUACAAGCAGUGGGAGCCUCUUUAUGGGGUGACUGCGUACCUUUUGUAUAAUGGGUCAGCGACUUAUAUUCUGUAGCAAGGUUAACCGAAUAGGGGAGCCGAAGGGAAACCGAGUCUUAACUGGGCGUUAAGUUGCAGGGUAUAGACCCGAAACCCGGUGAUCUAGCCAUGGGCAGGUUGAAGGUUGGGUAACACUAACUGGAGGACCGAACCGACUAAUGUUGAAAAAUUAGCGGAUGACUUGUGGCUGGGGGUGAAAGGCCAAUCAAACCGGGAGAUAGCUGGUUCUCCCCGAAAGCUAUUUAGGUAGCGCCUCGUGAAUUCAUCUCCGGGGGUAGAGCACUGUUUCGGCAAGGGGGUCAUCCCGACUUACCAACCCGAUGCAAACUGCGAAUACCGGAGAAUGUUAUCACGGGAGACACACGGCGGGUGCUAACGUCCGUCGUGAAGAGGGAAACAACCCAGACCGCCAGCUAAGGUCCCAAAGUCAUGGUUAAGUGGGAAACGAUGUGGGAAGGCCCAGACAGCCAGGAUGUUGGCUUAGAAGCAGCCAUCAUUUAAAGAAAGCGUAAUAGCUCACUGGUCGAGUCGGCCUGCGCGGAAGAUGUAACGGGGCUAAACCAUGCACCGAAGCUGCGGCAGCGACACUAUGUGUUGUUGGGUAGGGGAGCGUUCUGUAAGCCUGUGAAGGUGUGCUGUGAGGUAUGCUGGAGGUAUCAGAAGUGCGAAUGCUGACAUAAGUAACGAUAAAGCGGGUGAAAAGCCCGCUCGCCGGAAGACCAAGGGUUCCUGUCCAACGUUAAUCGGGGCAGGGUGAGUCGACCCCUAAGGCGAGGCCGAAAGGCGUAGUCGAUGGGAAACAGGUUAAUAUUCCUGUACUUGGUGUUACUGCGAAGGGGGGACGGAGAAGGCUAUGUUGGCCGGGCGACGGUUGUCCCGGUUUAAGCGUGUAGGCUGGUUUUCCAGGCAAAUCCGGAAAAUCAAGGCUGAGGCGUGAUGACGAGGCACUACGGUGCUGAAGCAACAAAUGCCCUGCUUCCAGGAAAAGCCUCUAAGCAUCAGGUAACAUCAAAUCGUACCCCAAACCGACACAGGUGGUCAGGUAGAGAAUACCAAGGCGCUUGAGAGAACUCGGGUGAAGGAACUAGGCAAAAUGGUGCCGUAACUUCGGGAGAAGGCACGCUGAUAUGUAGGUGAAGUCCCUCGCGGAUGGAGCUGAAAUCAGUCGAAGAUACCAGCUGGCUGCAACUGUUUAUUAAAAACACAGCACUGUGCAAACACGAAAGUGGACGUAUACGGUGUGACGCCUGCCCGGUGCCGGAAGGUUAAUUGAUGGGGUUAGCGGUAACGCGAAGCUCUUGAUCGAAGCCCCGGUAAACGGCGGCCGUAACUAUAACGGUCCUAAGGUAGCGAAAUUCCUUGUCGGGUAAGUUCCGACCUGCACGAAUGGCGUAAUGAUGGCCAGGCUGUCUCCACCCGAGACUCAGUGAAAUUGAACUCGCUGUGAAGAUGCAGUGUACCCGCGGCAAGACGGAAAGACCCCGUGAACCUUUACUAUAGCUUGACACUGAACAUUGAGCCUUGAUGUGUAGGAUAGGUGGGAGGCUUUGAAGUGUGGACGCCAGUCUGCAUGGAGCCGACCUUGAAAUACCACCCUUUAAUGUUUGAUGUUCUAACGUUGGCCCCUAAUCGGGGUUGCGGACAGUGUCUGGUGGGUAGUUUGACUGGGGCGGUCUCCUCCUAAAGAGUAACGGAGGAGCACGAAGGUUGGCUAAUCCUGGUCGGACAUCAGGAGGUUAGUGCAAUGGCAUAAGCCAGCUUGACUGCGAGCGUGACGGCGCGAGCAGGUGCGAAAGCAGGUCAUAGUGAUCCGGUGGUUCUGAAUGGAAGGGCCAUCGCUCAACGGAUAAAAGGUACUCCGGGGAUAACAGGCUGAUACCGCCCAAGAGUUCAUAUCGACGGCGGUGUUUGGCACCUCGAUGUCGGCUCAUCACAUCCUGGGGCUGAAGUAGGUCCCAAGGGUAUGGCUGUUCGCCAUUUAAAGUGGUACGCGAGCUGGGUUUAGAACGUCGUGAGACAGUUCGGUCCCUAUCUGCCGUGGGCGCUGGAGAACUGAGGGGGGCUGCUCCUAGUACGAGAGGACCGGAGUGGACGCAUCACUGGUGUUCGGGUUGUCAUGCCAAUGGCACUGCCCGGUAGCUAAAUGCGGAAGAGAUAAGUGCUGAAAGCAUCUAAGCACGAAACUUGCCCCGAGAUGAGUUCUCCCUGACCCUUUAAGGGUCCUGAAGGAACGUUGAAGACGACGACGUUGAUAGGCCGGGUGUGUAAGCGCAGCGAUGCGUUGAGCUAACCGGUACUAAUGAACCGUGAGGCUUAACCU